AGCACGAUGUAGCAAUACAUUGGUGGCGACCGGCGCACGGGUGAGCAACGCGUAUGCAACCUACCUAUCAGAGGGGAAUAACCCGGCGAAAGUCGGACUAAUACCGCAUAAAACAGGGGUUCCACAUGGAAAUAUUUGUUAAAGAAUUAUCGCUGAUAGAUGGGCAUGCGUUCCAUUAGAUAGUUGGUGAGGUAACGGCUCACCAAGUCCACGAUGGAUAGGGGUUCUGAGAGGAAGGUCCCCCACACUGGUACUGAGACACGGACCAGACUCCUACGGGAGGCAGCAGUGAGGAAUAUUGGUCAAUGGGCGAGAGCCUGAACCAGCCAAGUCGCGUGAAGGAUGAAGGAUCUAUGGUUUGUAAACUUCUUUUAUAUGGGAAUAAAGUGAGGAACGUGUUCCUUUUUGUAUGUACCAUAUGAAUAAGCAUCGGCUAACUCCGUGCCAGCAGCCGCGGUAAUACGGAGGAUGCGAGCGUUAUCCGGAUUUAUUGGGUUUAAAGGGUGCGUAGGUGGUUAAUUAAGUCAGCGGUGAAAGUUUGUGGCUCAACCAUAAAAUUGCCGUUGAAACUGGUUGACUUGAGUAUAUUUGAGGUAGGCGGAAUGCGUGGUGUAGCGGUGAAAUGCAUAGAUAUCACGCAGAACUCCGAUUGCGAAGGCAGCUUACUAAACUAUAACUGACACUGAAGCACGAAAGCGUGGGGAUCAAACAG
rnacentral:rRNA from 1 species